CUUAUGUGGCUGACAUAUUUCACUUAGCACAAUGUCCUCAACGUUCGCCCAUGCGGUAGCAUAUAUCAGGAUUUCCUUCCUUUUAGGCUGCAGAGAAUUAUGAUCGCGCCACUGCACCCCAGCUUGGGUGACAGAGUGAGAACCUGUCUCUUAAUUAAAAAAAAAAAAAAAAAGAGUCCAGGCAUGGUGGUUCACUUCUGUUAAUUCUACCACUUCGGAAGGCCAAGGUAGGAGGAUCCCUUGAGUCCAAGAGUUUGAGACCAGCCUGGGCAACAUGCUGAAACCCCAUCUCUACAAAGCCCACAAAAAUUAGCUGGGUGUGGUGGCACACUUGUGGUCUCAGCUAUUUAGGAGACUGAGGUGGGAGAAUAACUUGAGCCUGGGAGGCUGAGGCUGCAGUGAGCCAAGAUCACACCACUGCACUCUAUCCUGGGUGACAGAAUAAGACCUUGUCUAAAAAAACAAAAGAAUUUCCUUCCUUUUUAAGUCUGAAUAAUAUUCCACUGUAUGUAUAGAUCACAUUUUGCUUACCCAUUCACCUGUCAAUGGACAUUUGGAUUGUGUCUAUGUUCUAGCUAUUGUAUAUACUGCUUUUUAACUUAAUCUAUUAUGAACAUCUUUUCAGAUGAAUAAUUAAAUUUUCCCAAUGCCUUUUUUAGUGGCUGCUUUAUAGUACAUUACCUGACUGUUCCACAAUGUAGUUGACUAUUCCUUGAGGGUUGGAAAUUUAGUUUGUUUCUGAUUUUUUGCUCUAAUAUACACGGCUGGAAUAAAUCCCCUACGAACAACAUCUUUGCAUGCCUGGCUGAUUAUGACUUUCAGACAAAAGAAUGUGCACAGGUUUCGGCCUCCGGCACCCAUUGCUGGGCCCUUGUUACAAGCAGCCUGUGCAUCUGAGGAGGCCUAAGCCUGAGCUGCCGCACACAUCCCCAUCCCUGAAGACCAGAGAGCACCAUGAUGCCAGGGGUCCCUGCGCCUCCUGGAAGUGAAGAAUGUUGCUGCAGCUCCAAGCUCGUAGGGUGGUACUAGGUAUCAGGAACUUGUAGCCAUCUGGCGGUCUGCCGGUAGCCUGUAGGACUGCUUACAGACUGGGACCAUAGGCUCCCCUGGUCCUUAGGCCUUCAGACUUGGACUGAACGACACCACUGACUUUCCCAGGUCUCCAGCUUGCAGAUGGCAGGAAGAGGUUCUUCCCAGCCUCCACAGUCAUGCCUGCCCAGCUGCUUUAGUGAUUCCGGGUCAGAGUCUUGCAAUCAGAAGCAACUCCCACCCUCAGCCCUCAAAAUGGGCCAUCUCAAAUCUUACUAGCCAAUGGCACUCCAAGGAGAGGGAGGAGCAGUGUCCCUGUAAGCUCCUUCCAGCCUUUAUCAUCCUUUGACUUGUCCCUAAAAUAUCCUAUUCCCCAAAGAUGGCAAGAGCGCCUCCCGAGAAGGAGGAGCAAGGGCAUCUCCAUGGAGCCCCGCUCUCUGAGCUCUGACUGAGGGUGGGGGAAGGAGAGAACUCUGGGUCUGGCUCACGGGGUGCCAUGUGUCAGGCAGCAGGUCCUUGUG
rnacentral:lncRNA from 10 species